UGUAUUCACUGAGGUGCAGCUGCUACCUGAAACGUCACAGAGCUACAAAGUUGGGCAGAAUCUUAGAGAAAUCCAGUCCAAACCCUUCCUGUUACAUACAGGCGAAAGUAAGUCUGAAGUUAAAUUUCUUCUAAAAAUCACACGGCUGAUCAGUAUGAGAAGUGAGAGAUCAACUCAGCAAGGACUCUGUUCCAAUAGACAGGAUCCUAUAAUGUUUUCCUCCUCAAAUAAACCCCUACUCCCUAGCCUCCCACCUCCCCAGCCAAAAGGAAUUGUCCUGAUUUCCACUCUGUGGACUUUGACAAAAUAACUGUUUUAUUGUGACCUUUCCAGGAAGCGGCUUCAGACACUUUAACCAAGAACACAUAGUAGUGAUAGUUUUUUAUAAUCAAAACCUCAGAAACAGGUUGGAACCAAAGUUGCCAUGUUGUGGGAAGGAGAAAGUCUUUGGCCGGCCUAGGGAAGAAAGAAUGUUUUACAGAGGUUUGUAGGAAAUCACUAUUCUCCUGCCUUAGUUUCUUGAAAUGCAUUUUUAAGACACAGACAACUUAAAAUUUCUGCUGAAUUGACCUGCUUACCGGGAGAAUAACAUUUCAAGAGCAGCUUCUUCCAAGUAUUUGAGUUAGAGGUGUUUGAUUUUUUUGUUUGUUUAUUUUGGUCCUAUAACACACAUUACCUGACUCACAGCGCUCGGCCGCUAACCAAAACGUCGACAGUUCGAACCCACCAGUCACUCCGCAGGAGAAAGAUGUGGCAAUCUGUUUUCGUAAAGAUUACGACACUAUGGGGUCACUGUGAGUUGGAAUUGGCUUGACAGAAAUGGGUUUAGAUUUUCUGGUUUCAAUAUAAGGAAACAGAGAGACAGUAUGAAACGCAGGGCCAGACACAAGCAGAUGAGGGGGAGGGGGUAUAUGUGAAGAGUUGAGGAAAGCAAGAAAGAAUACAGUGGGGGAAGGGCCUGACCCGUGGGCAGGGCACACAGCAGCCCCGGGCAGCACUCACAAGGUCGCAGGUCAUCAUCACUUGCCUUUGACCCCCAGGUGCCAGCCUCUUGCCUCAGGCUUCUGCUCGUGGGAAAUAUAUGUGGACUAAAUAUCCGUGUGGUGCAAAUAGUUAAUUUACUAGGCUGCUAACUGAAGGGUUAGAGGUUCCAGUCCAGCCAGGGGCUCCUCGGAAGAAAGGUCUGGCGACCUGCUUCUGAAAAAUCAGCCACUGAAAACCCCACAGAGCACGGUUCCACUCUGACAAAUGCCGAGUUGCCAGGAGUUGGAGUCAACCCGACAGCAGCCGGGGUUUUUGGAGAGUAUAUAGGCAUUUACUUGACCUUUGAAUUUAAUUUUGAAAAGUUGAAAGAAUAAUACCAUGAACGUCAGCGUAUCUCUUACCUAGUUCACCAACAAAUGAUUCACCUUUUCCGGAAUUUACCUUAUUCUAACUUUAAUUCUCUCUCUCUCUCUCCCCGCCCCUUUCCAGAAAUUCAAGCCAGAUUCAGAGGAAGAUGUGGGAAGAAGAAUAUCAUUGCUGACGUCAGAUGGACCUUGGCAGAAAGCAGAGAAUAUCAGAAAGAUGCUUACCUGUGCUUUAUUUGCUAUGCAAAGGCAUUCAACUGUGUGGACCAUAACAAAUUAUGGAUGACACUGGGAAGAACGGGAAUUCCAGAACACUUAGAUAUGCUCAUGUGAGACCUGUACAUAGAUCAAGAAGCAGUGAUUCAAACAGAACAAGGGAAUACUGCGUGGUGUAAGGUCACGAAAGGUUUGUAUCAGGGUUGCAUCCUUCUAUGAUACUUAUUCAGCCUAUAUGCUGAGCAAAUAAUCUAAGCAGCUGGACUGUAUGAAGAAGAACAGGGCAUCAGGAGCGGAAGAAGACUCAAUAACAACCUUGCUUACUAAAAGCAAAGAGGACUUCAAAAACUUACUGUUGAAUAUCAAAGACCACAGCCUUCAGCAUGGAUUACACCUCACCAUAAAGAAAAUGAAAAUCCUCACAACUGGACCAAUGAGCAGCAUCAUGAUGAAUGAAGGAAAUAUGGAAGUUGUCAAGGAUUUUGUUUUACUUGGAUCCACAAUCAACACUCAUGGAAGUAGCAGUCAGGAAAUCAAAUAAUGUAUUGCAUUAGGCAAAUCUGCUGCAAAAGACCUCUUUCAAGUGUCAAAAAGCAAAGAUGUCACUUUGCAGACUAAAGUGUGCCUGGCCCAAGCCAUGGUAUUUUCAAUCACCUCAUGUACAUGUUGAAGUUGGACAAUGAAUAACCAAGACUGAAGAAAAAUUGGUGUCUUUGAGUUAUGGUAUUGGCAAAGAAUAUUGAAUAUACCAUGAACUGCCAGAAGAACAAACGAAUCCGUCUUGGAAGUAGUCCAGCCAGCAUGCUCCUUAGAAGCAAGGGUGGCAAGGCUUCAUCUCAGGUAUACUGGACAUGCAAUCAGGAGGGACCAGUCCCUGGAGAAGGAUAUCACGCUUGGUAGAGGGUCAGUGAAAAAGAGGAAGACCCUGGAUGAGAUGGAACGACACAGAGCUGCAACAAUGGGUUCAAACAUAGCAAUGAGUGUGAGGAUGGUGUAGGACCGGGCAGUGUUUCGUUCUCUUGUACAUAAGGUCGCUAUGAAUUGGAAAUGACCUGAGAGCACCUAACAACAAUAACUGCAUAUAUACAUACAAAAGCAAACCAAAUGCAGUGCCAUCGAGUAGAUUCUGACUCAUAGCGACCCUACAGGAGAGAGCAGAACUGCUCCAUAGGGUUCCCAAGGAGUGGCUGGUAGAUUCAAACUGCUGACCUUUGGGUUUGCAGCCAAACUCUUAACCACUACACUACCAGCACUCCAUGCACAUAUAUAGACAGACAGAUUCAUGAGUGUGUGUGUGUGUGUGUGUGUGUGUAUAGUCUCUGUGAGUCGGAACCAACUGGACCGCACCUAACAAUGAACAGCAGACUUAAUUUACCCAAAAGAUCAACUUUUCUUUAUGUCCAUCCUCGCUUCAUUCCAAGGAGUUUCUAGGCAACUGUCCAAUCUCUCUGAGUCGUGUGGCACAUGCCUCCAGAAAAUAAAAACAAGCUGGCAGUUUUUGAAUAUUAAUAAAGUCAAAUAGCUAUCGUGCCAUAAACAUAGAAUUUACUCAUUCCCAGUUUGGAAAAUAAAUUUCUAAAAGUCCAAGCAUACUCCUUCAGGAACAUGGUAUAAAACCCUUCUCAAAUUCAUGGAAAAGUAAACAUUUAUAUCAAAAUUAAUGUUGGAAAUUUUUUAAGUCAAAGCUGAAGUAAUAUAAAAAGUAUUUUUGAACUAAGCCUCUGGAAAGCACAGGUUUCUAAGAGUUUAGGGAGUAGAGAAGACCCUCAAGGUGCAGAUACAUGACCACAUUUGAGGCGGCUUUUGUGGAAAAAAAUGUUCUGGCUCAAAGCAGAACCAUUGAUGGUUGUCCACAGAUUAUUUUUGUUCUACAGAAAAGAAAAAAACUGAUUUUCUUUUUUCCAGAAUUAAGAAAAUUCAGUCUCCAAGCAGCACAGUAGGAUGGCUUCUGGUCUGCUUGGCCACGUUAGAAUUACAGCCCCAAAGUGUCCUUUACAAGGUUCCUGAGCGGCGCACAUGGCCUGUGCUCUCCUGCUAACCUAAAGGUUGAUGCGUUGAACCCACCGGUCAGUACCAUUGACGAAAGGCCCGGUGAUCUGCUUCCGUGAAGAUCACAGCCAGGAAACCCUACGUCGCUCAGCUGUGCUCUGUAACACAUGGGAUUGCCAUGAGUUGGCGUUGACUCCAUGGUAAUGAUUUUUUGAGUUUUUUGUUUUGUUUGUUUGUUUUAUGUCAUUUAAACCAUGUUCCCCGCUCCCUGGUGGGGCCAGGAAAAUGGAACUGUUCACUGGAAAGCCGUGGCUUUGGGUCAUGUUGGGCUGACUCUCAGAGGGGCAAACCUAGAGAGGCUAAAACAUGAUUCCACCAAGGGCUACACACUCUCUUCACAUACCGCUUUUUGCCAACAAAACAGCAUUUUCACUAAAUCCACUCUUUCCCCAUCAAAUAUUUGAACUUGAUCAACUUCUGCUCUAAGAACCACUGACUCAGAGGCACUUCAAUAAAGCAACGCAUCUUCCCAUUCAUUCAAAUACUCGAUUCACAAUUUCCACUCCCAGUAAGGCUGAGUCAUUGAGAGGCCCCAGGAGGCUGGGCCAUCAGCUGAGAGAGGCUCCCUUCCCCUUCCUCCUACACCAGGCAACAGGUUCUCCCACAGGCUGACACCCCACAAGACUACUCUCCUAGCCCCAGAAUAGUCAACAUCCUCCUUCAAAGUGACUGAUGAGGAAACUAGCCACGAGGCCCUAAGUACUAACAGUGUGAAUCAACCAGGCUUCAAACACUCCCAGCCUGAUACUUGUGUAAGACGGAUCCCCUGGUCUGUACCACUCAGAGGACAAAACUCGUGAAGCUGGUAGAGCACAUCAUCCCCAUUAUAAACAUGAAGCAAUAGAGAUAGACUUAAAUACAUUAAGUAACUUGCCCAAGGCCAUAGAGCUAAUGAGAUGAUAAAGUAGGAUGUAAACACAAGCCUACACAAUCCUCAGUCUUGGUACUCUUUCUUUGCUCUGUAGAAGCAUCAAAACCUGGAACUAGAUCAACCACGUAUACAAGACAGGACAAGGAGGAGAAGGCAGGAGGGAACAGGAAAGCUGGAUGAAUGGAAAUGGGGAACCCAAAGUCGAGAAGGGGAGAGUGUUGACACGUCGUAGGGUUGGCAACCAAUGUCACAAAACAAUAUCGCUAUUAAUUUUUUAAUCAGAAACUAAUCCUCUCUGUAAACCUUCAUCUAAAGCACAAUAAAAAAAAAUUUAAAAACUGGAGCUGGGGGGUUUCAGAAGCCAUUAAGUUCAGGUACCCACUCGUACACCCCAAAUCCAGAAUUCCCCAUAGAUGGCCAAGCUUAGCACUUCCCUCAGUGGACACCUCCAGUCUUGGAAAGUUCCCAUGAUCAGAAACUUCCCUGUCAUUUGAGUCCACAUUUGCCUCCCUCGAACCUCCACCCAUUGGUCAGAUUCCACCCUCUGGGGCAGCUCAGAAGAAGUCUGUCAGGACCUUCCAAAAGUCUUGUGAGCUAGGGAAGUCUGUACAGAGAAGAAGAGAAAAAAGCCUGACAGGCUGAAUGUGAAUCCCGCCUCUCUUCCUUGCCAGCUGAGUGGUCAGGGCAGGUCAGCGUACCUCUCUGAGGCUCAGUUCUCUCAUCUGGAGCUAAAAUGGGCGUAACCUGACUGCCAUCAAAGGGGGAUUAGAUGACAUACGAUAUGUAAAAAGCUUAGAACUGUGCUGGUAAAGAGAAAGCAGUCAAGAAGGAUGGCUCUUGUCAGCAUUUUACAGAAGCAGAACCAGAAACUCAGAGAGGUAAGUAACUUGCUCAAGAUCAUAGAGUGGGCAGAACCUAGAUGAGAAGUCAAAUCUUCCACUCUCUUUGCAUUCUGCCUAAUUCUUGCUUAAGGUCCAUCCCACAGCCUGAGAACUUUCUAGUAGCAUCGUCAGUAACUUAGCAAACAACAGUCACCGUAUGUGCGACUUUACAUAACGCUAUCAAUAAACCCUUGUGCAUAAAUCCAUAUUAUGGAAAUAUGUUUACAUAUAAACACACAAUCAUAAAUACACAUACACGUGUUCUAAGAUUUCAAAUGUCUUCAUUCAGACUAACACCUUAGUGGUAGAGUGUUUGAGCACUUGGAACUGGAGGUUGAAACCAGGUUCCAGUCUUCACUCUACCAUUAAUUAGUUAUGUGAUGUUAGGCAAGCCAUUGAAUCAGUCUGGUCACAGUUUCUUCAUCUCUAAAAAGCAAGGGUUAGGCUGGUGAGAGCAACGAAAUCCCUCCCAAGUGUAAAACCCCAGGAUUCUAAGUCAAUCUGGAUUUGAGUUUAGGCUUCAGCCCGGGACGCUGUUUCAAAUUCUAAAGCACCAAGCCAGGGGGCUUAAUCAGACAACCACUGAACUGAACUGGGUCAGCUCAUUUGCUUAAGGUCCCAUAGCUAGCAAGUGGCAGAGCCAAAACUCAGAACUCCUGCAUUCUCCUGGGUAUUGGAGUUCUGCUCUACGGGGACAUUCACCGAGUCGUGUGAAUUAGCAACCGGAUGCUCUGUAUUGGCGUGAGACAGGGAUUGGUUGUGAGCAGAUGCAUACCCUUUAAACCAAGUGAUGCUUUCACUCUCCAAAUUUCUCUUCUAACCUGAGUAUAGCAAGUGCCUCAAAUAUUUGAAUAAUCAAUCAUCCAGAAAACUUGUCCACCUAAAACAUAAUUCAGACAGAAGAAACGGCAAGAAAAAUCUAAAGAGCUGAAAAAUAGCCAUAGGAUCCUGGCACAAAAGCAUAUGUAUUUUACUCACAGAAGAAGCUCUCAAGCCCUUGUUGAGGACCACUUUUCUCUUUACGAGCAGGAACGUGACUAUUUGCUUCUCAGAGUGGCAGGUUGUAUUUUUCAAAGAUAGCCAGGACAAUAUCCUCCAUCCCACAUGGUCUUCUGCAAUAUAACUAUACCACUUUGACAUCAGAAGGUGGAGUCCAAUUCACCUCCCUUGAAUCUGGGCUGGACUUGUGACUCUCGUGUAACCAAUAGAAUGCAGCAGGAGUGAUGCUGUGUGAUGUCUGAGGCUAAGUCAGAAAAAGUCAUGCAGCUUCCACCUGAUUUUCUUGGGAUACCUGCUCUGAGGAAAGCCAGCCAGGCUGUAAACAGUCAGACUACCCCAAGACCACCUUGCUAAGAAGGCCAUGCGUAGGUGCUCUGGUUGACAGUCCCAGCUAUGACUAGCCUUCCAGGAAUCCCCUCAAUGGCAUCAGUCACAUAAGUGCCAACAGCUAAGUACCACUGUUAGAACUAUAACAAACCACAUGGAGUGGAAAAAAAGCCUAGCUGAGCCCUUCUCAAAUUCCUGACCUAUAAAAUUUGUGAGUUAUAGUAAAAUGGUUGUUGUUUUAAGUCACUAAGUUUUGGGGAAGCUUGUUACGUAGCACCAGAUGACCAGAAUUCUCAAUCUAAGGAAGGUUAGAGGUAGCAAAUUAGAAAGAAGGAGAGGACUCUGGAAGAAAAUAUACAGAAAGAAGUGUCAACUGAUUGCCCAAUGUUAUCUAGUGCUGCUGUAACAGAAAUACCACAAGUGGAUAGCUUUAAUGGAAAUUUAUUUUCUCACAGUUUAGGAGGUUAAAGUCUGAAUUCACGGUGCCAGCUCCAGGGGAAGGCUUUCUCUCUGUCAGCUCAGAGGAAGGUCCUUGUCUCUUUUAAGUUUCUGUUCCUGGGCAGUCUUCAUGUGGCUUGGCACCUCUCUUCCCCCAUCUCUGCUUCUCUUGCUUAAUCUGUUUUUAUAUCUCAAAAGAGAUUGAUUCAAGAUACACCCUACACUAAUCCUUCCUCAUUAACAUAACAAAGACCACCCAUUGGCAAUGGGGAUUACAACCACAGACAUAGAGGUUAGGAUUUACAACACAUAUUUUGGGGGAACACAAUUCAAUUCGUAACACCCGAUUACAAAGGAAGAGACAGCAAAACCACUAAAACCGAUGUAAGGAGCAAAGAGUGCAGCCAUCUGGGCCUUUAAGGGUGCACAUAAAUGGUUCCCUCCAUCCCACUGUGCUCUCUUAAGGGUACAAUGAUGUUAAAGCACAAAAUAGUUGAUGUUCCUAGUGAUUUCCCAGAGUCAUAAAAAAGAGUCAUAAAGAGAGGUUUAAAUUUUGUUCAGAAUCCUCUUUUUCUAGCAUAGGGCAAUAUAUGCAAUUAGGAUCAUAUUUUCAUUGAUUUGCAGUAUGUUUCCCUUCUUGGACUGUGAUGCUUCUGCCACUAUAGCCCCAGGAAAGGGGAAGAACAAAGGCCCCACAGAAAGGAGGGAAGUGGAUAUGAUGUAGAGGAAGUUCCUUCUUGGUUGGAAGGGGAAGUAGAAGAAAAAGGCCCUUUGGGUUCCUGGAUGAAAGGAGGGAAGUUGAAAGAGGAAGCAGGUAGAUACUCCUGCCACUUAUUCUGGAUUCAAAACUGUUGCUCUGCUUCCAAAUUGGGUUUCUAGAGGAGUCCCACCUUGCAAAGAGUGGUUACCAAGAUGGGGAAGCUACAGAAGAAUGGGAAUAAAGAUGUGGCAUGCUUAGGUAGAAGGGAUUCUAGGGUUAGUUCCCUAUGUGCCUCAGUUUUUUGUUUUGUUUUGUUUUUACUGUUGUAAAAACAUGUAUAACACAUUUGCCAGGUGUACAAUUUAGUGACAUCAAUUACUUUAAUCAUGUCCUUUCUUGCCUCAGUUCUUAGCAGAGAGGGAAAAGAUCCAGACAGUCCCCUGUAUUUCCAGUGGGGAAUAGGGGAAGGUUGAGAUCUGGGCUGCCUUGGAGCUGCCGUGAAGAAGGGCAAGGGGACCUACAGCCCAGGCUACAGGGUGGUCAGUCAGCAAACAGCAGUGUGGCGAACCAUGAAAAUACUUCCUUACUGGUGGGUAAGCCCCUGAGCACUCCAGUCAGCUACCUCAGGUGCCUCAGUGCUCCCCUAAAAUCCCCCAGACUUCCCCAUAGUCCAGCAACAAGUGUGGCCACAUGUUUUCUGAUUGGCUGGUACUUAUGCCCUACUGGUAGUUAAAUAUUUUGACUAUCACAUCCACGGGUAAACAGUCUAAGCCAAGAGAAAAACGAGGCCAUGGCCAAGACUCAGAAGACCUGUGCAGCCAGAGAGGCAGAGCGGGGCCCAGUCAUUGGUAGCUCUGACUCUGACUCAGCUGAAGGAUAAGAUCGUGGGUUUUCCCAGCCACAAACCUCAGUAGCAGAUUCAGCAGAACAUCCAGGGACCAGACCGGUCCAAGAUAUCUCCAUGGAAGCCAGUGAAGACCCCCAGGUCAGCAAGUGUAAAUUAGUUACCCUCCCCACAAUUCCCUGUGCUACAUCAUCUUCCUAUUAGUCUCAGAUACCUUUCUGGCUAGAAGAGGCUCUGUGAGAAACUCUGAAAGACUGAGCACCUACCCUAAAGAGCCUGAGUAAACCCAAAAGAAGAAGAUUGAAGCCCACCAAAUGGAGAUAAUGUGUACUGAUGCUACUCAAAACCACCCACUGCCAGUUUGCAGAUGCUACUCAAAACCACCCACUGUCCAGUCGAUUCUGACUCAUAGCGACCCUAUAGGACAGAGUAGAACUGCCCGAUAGAGUUCCCAAGGAGCGCCUGGUGGAUUCAAACUGCCGACCCCAGUUUAUUCCCUGUGAUGAGAACAGCUCCGUGAAGCUUGGCCAUCUAAAAAUCUUACCUUCUUUUCCCCACAACUCCAACUGACAUGACCAAUGAACAGAAUGUGGUAGAUAUACCAAUAUCUUUUCUACUUUGGAGUAUGCACAGGGUUUCACUUCUCUGCACCCUUAAGGUUAGGGAUGGUCAUAUGACAAGGUACAGCCAAUGAACAGUGAGCACCAAGAGCAUAUGUCGCUUCCAGGCCAAAGACUUAAUUGCCGUUGCUGUAUUCUCCAGCCCUCUCUUCUCCCACCAUGGUGACGCCAGAACCCUUGAUGGUAUACCUCAGCAUCAUAGGAUGGUCAAGACACAUCUACUGACCCACUUGAGUGUUCCUGCUAUGUCUCUUUCUCUUUUUGUUAAAUAAUAAUAAUUCCUCAAACCCUCAGUUCUCAUAUCAAAACAAUGAGAAUCCAGUAGAUGAUAUCUGUAAAUUCUGUUUUGAAGCUGACCUGGUUCCUUGAAUGACUAUGAUGAGUCAUCCCAGUCUGACCAAACUGAGCAAUGGGGAUUAUGUAGCAUGAAUGAGAAAUGAACUCGUGCUGUGUUAAGGUACCAAGAUCUUUUUUUAAAGUUAUUUCUGUAGUAUAACUUGGACUGGUACCCACAGCAAUGCAGAAGGAUCAAGAAAUUGUAUUAGCUUUCUAUUGCUGUAUAACAAAUUACCACAAACUUAGAGACUUGAAACAAUACUCAUUCAUUAGCUCACAGAUUUGAAGGUCAGAUGUUUGGGCCCUACUCAGCAUCGCACAAGAUUUUGGCUGGGCUAUAUUCCUUCUUGGAACUCAGGGUCCCUCUUUCUUGCUGGCUGUCAUCCAGAGGCUGGCCUUGGCUCCUAAAGGCCACCCUCUGUUUGCUGCCACAUGGGCCUCUCCAGGACACAGUAGUUUGUUCCUUCAAGGCCAAGAAGACAGGACCUGAUGCUGCUUUCAACCUGUCUGGCUUGUUAACUCUGAGCCUCUUUUAAAGUUGUUCUUACUAGGUGCUGUUGAGUCCAUUCAACAGAACAGAAUGCUGCCUGGUCCUAAACCAUCCUCACAAUCUUUGCUACACUUGAGCCCAUUGUUGUAGCCACUGUGUCAAUCCGUCUCGUUGAGGGUCUCCCUCUUUUCUACUGAUCUGCUAUUUUACCAUGCAUGAUGUCCUUCUCCAGGGACUGGUCCCUCCUGAUAACACAUCCAAAGUACGUGAGACGAAGUCUCGCCAUCUACACCUCCAAGGAGCAAUUGUGGCUGUACUUCCUCCAAGACAGAUUUGUUCAUUCUUCUGGCAGUUCAUCGUAUAUUCAAUAUUCUUUAUCAACACUUUUAAAGUGCUUGCCUGAAUAUGUCAGACCCAGCCAGGAUAACCUCUCUUUUGAUUAACUUGAAGUCAACUGACUGGGGACCUUAGUUAUAUCUGCCAAAUUCCUUCAUCUUUGCCAGAUAAGAUAACCUAAUCACCAGAGCAAUGCUCCAACAUAUUCACAGGUGCUCCUCACUCAAGAGGAGGGGAUUAUAUAAAAACAUGGGCCAGUGGGGGUCAUCUUAAAAUUCUGCCUACCUUAGUCAUUUUUUUAAAAUUUAGAAUCCACCCACAGCUUUACAUUAACUUUUUCUGUGCUCUGAAAUAAGGUGAUCCCUUCUAGAAUUUCCAAGAGCCUUGCCACUCGAAGUGUGGUCCAAGGACCAGCAGCACAGGCAUCUCUUGUGAUAAAUGCAGAAUCUCAGGCCCCACCUCAGACAUGCUGAAUCAGAAUCUGAGAGUAAUCAAGAUGCCCAGGUGAUUUUGAGAAGCAUUGAUCUUUACAACUGGCUCAUUCUUAAACAAAGGAGCCCUGGUGGCACAGUGUUUAAGAGCUAUGGCUACUAUCCAAAAGGUCGGCACUUGAAAUCUACCAGUUGCUCCUUGGAAAACCUAUGGGGCAGUUCUACUCUGUCCUAUAUAAUCGCUGUAAGUCCAACUCAAUGUCAAUGGGUUUUUAUCAUUAAGCAAAGUAGGAAGAUGUCUACAUGGUGUGAGAGCAGAGUUAUUAAUCACUGGGCCCUGAUCACCCCGGCCCUCUUGAGCUAGAGUCUGAAACUUAUAAUCUUAUAAUGAUGGUGUUAAUGAUGAUGAUGAUGACAGCUAACAUAGGUGAACACCCAUCAUGUGCCAGGCACUGGGAAAAGUCUUGACAUCCAUUAUUUCUUUUAAUUUUCCUAGCAUUUUAUGAAUUAUAUAGUACUAUUUUCAUUUUAUAGAUGAAGAAAUCAAGGUGUUCAGAAGUUAAAUAACUUGGCCAAAACCAAAAAACAAACCAGUUGCCACUGAGUUGAUUCCAACUCAUGGUAACCUCAUAUGUGUCAGAUUAGAGCUAUGCUCCACAGGGUUUUCAGCAAAUGUGAUGGUUCAGAAGCAAAUUGCCAGGCCUUUUUCCCAAGGUGCCUCUGAGCGUAUUUGAACUGCCAACCUUUCAGUUAAUAGCCAAGCACUUAACCAUUUGUACCACGCAGGGGCUCCAAAUAACUUAUCCAAGGUCACACAAAUAGAAGCUGCGGGGCCAGGAUUUGUCCCUCAUCCCUGUCAUAGAUUGAAUUGUGUCCCCAAAAAAUAUGUGUCAACUUGGCUAGGUCAUGAUUCUCAGUAUUGUGUGGUUGUCCACAAUUUUGUGACCUGACGUGACAGUAAAUUCUAACCUCUAUGAUAUGGUGGCAUAGAGGUUAAGUGCUACGGCUGCUAACCAAAAGGUUGGCGGUUCAAAUCCACCAGGGGCUCCUUAGAAACUCUACAGGGCAGUUUUACUCUCUCCUAUAGAGUCACUAUGAGUCAUAAUGGACUUCAUGGCAAAGGUUUAUGAUGUUAAUGAGGCAGGAUUAAAGGCAGUUAUGUAAGUGAGGCAGGACUCAAUCUAUAGGAUUAGGUUGUAUUUUAAGUCAAUUUCUUUUGCGAUAUAGAAGAUACAAGUGAACAGAAAGGCAAGGGGAUCUCAUACCACCAAGAAAGCAAAGCAAGGAACAGAGUGUGUCCUUAGCACCUGGGAUCCCUGUGCUGAGAAACUCCUAGACCAGGGGAAGACUGAUGACAAGGACCUUCCCCCAGAGCCGACAGAGGAAAAGACUUCCGCUAGAGCUGGUGCCUUGAAUUCAGACUUCUAGCCUCCUAAACUGUGAAAGAAUAAACUUUUGUUUGUUAAACCCACCCACUUGUGGUAUUCCUGUUACAGCAGCACUAGAUAUACUAAGACAACUGCUUUAGCUUAGUGGUUAUGAGAUCAUAUUGUCAAAAAAAAUUUAAAGCUAGUCCAGGAACUGAAAUCUGAAGGGAUCACAGACCAAUCCAACCUGUGAAUAUGCUUUAUUCAGCCAGGAGUGUUGGUGUUAUUUUCAAUGGAAUAAAAUUUUCUCAGAAGGAAAAGCUCUUUCCAUUAGCCACAGGCCCUACCACUCCCUAUUGGGCAGCAACACAGAUUUGACUUGACUGUAUGGGCCUGAAUACGCUCGAGUUUGCAACCUCCAGUCACAUCCAGGUAUUCUUAAACUUCCUCUUGAUAUUUCAUGAAAAAUGUCUGGGCCAUGAAUAUUUUCCAAGGGUCCUUAAAAAUGGCAAAGGGCCACGCUUCUCUCUCAUCUAACUCUUCCAUCUAAUAGAUGAAACUGAUGUCCAGAAAUGUGAAGUGACGUGUGUAAGGUUUCACAGUGGGAUAAUAUCCAGGUGUUAAGCUAGGCUCUUCUGACUCACAAUCUAGGGCCAGAAUUAUUUGCCUCCUUGUGUUUAGGAAAUUAUUUUUGCUUAAUAUAUAACAGCAGUCCUUAACCAACGUAUGCACCAGAAUCACCUGAACGGAGUUUAAUAGAGAUUCCCAGACUUUAAUGCAAUUCCCCAGAGAACCUAUUUAGCAGGUCUGAGGCAGGGCCUGAGAAGCUAUAUUAUUAUCCUUUAUGCUACUCGUGGGUCAGAUGCCCAAACCGAGGUAAAGACCGUUGGAUAAAUGACAGGUUUGGGGGGCAGGUUUUAAAGGGAGAAACAAGUGGUCUCUGAGUAGUUUAUAAAGAAUGGGGCAGUGAAGAGGAUAAGAAACGGAAUAAAGCCCCAAAAGCCAAACCCAUUGCCAUCAAGUCAAUUCCAACUCUUAGUGACCCUAUAAGACACAGAAGAACUUUCCCGUAGGGUUUCCAAGAAACAGCUGGUGGAUUUGAACUGCCAACCUUGUGGUUAACAGCCAAACACUUAACCACUGCGCCACCAGGCGCCAAGAAAUGGAAUAGGACAGUGGUUUUCAACCUUCGUAGCACAUUGAAAUCACAUGGGAAGCUUAAUAACUACUGAUGCCUAGGUCCCACCCUAGGAGCGCUGAUAUAAUUGGUCCAGGGUGCCAGAGGGGACCGGGAUUUUUAAAACUCCCCAGAUGACUCUAGUGUUCAGCCAGGGCUGAGAACCAUUGGAGCAGGGGACUCUGAGAAGUUAGAGGUUCAACAUCAUCUCCCCCACUAUUAUUCUCAUGCAGCACUGGGUUUAACCUUUUGGUGACCCAAUUAUUUUCUAUGCUGAGUUUUUUGUUGAUAACAUGUGUUUUCAUUAAUGAAAGCAUGCUGAAUCAUUGAGUGUGUCUGAAUUUUCGGUAGGCAGUAUGGAUUUGUUGUUUUUUCCCUGAAGCCUACUCUAAGUGUUGAGUGGUACAUAUGAAGUACGACUAAUCUACCCCAAAAUCCCCACCAGGGUCUAU